rnacentral:rRNA from 1 species
UACGUAGGGUGCAAGCGUUGUCCGGAAUUAUUGGGCGUAAAGAGCUCGUAGGCGGUCUGUCGCGUCGGAUGUGAAAAUCCAGGGCUCAACCCUGGACCUGCAUUCGAUACGGGCAGACUAGAGUUCGGUAGGGGAGACUGGAAUUCCUGGUGUAGCGGUGAAAUGCGCAGAUAUCAGGAGGAACACCGGUGGCGAAGGCGGGUCUCUGGGCCGGUACUGACACUGAGGAGCGAAAGCGUGGGUAGCAAACAGG